UUUUUUUUUUUUUUUUUUUUUUUUUUUUUUUUUUACUAAGAAAACCCCUUCAUAUUCCACUGAUAAUCCUGCUUCACCUAAUUCAAGGAUGGACAACUUGUGGCUUUGGACCCAGAGGCAGAUACUGAGUGUAACUCCCACAAUGGAAUCACAGAAUCAUUUAGCUUGGAAAAGACUUUUAAGAUUGUUGAGGCCAACCUUUGUCCGAUCAGCACCUUGUCAACUAAACCAUGGCACUGAGUGUCACAUCCAGUCACUUCUUGAACACCUCCAGGGAUGGCAACUACACCACCUCUCUGGACAGCCCAUUCCAAUGCAUGAUAUCCCUUUCUGUGAAGAAAUUCCUCCUUGUGUUAAACCUUAACCUCCCCUGGUGCAGCUUGGGGUUAUGGAGAUAUGCUGUGUUACUGCCAGCACACUGCUGAUGUUGUGAGUGCUUUUUUAUCCAUAUCUCCAUGUGGGAGGAAGCCCCCAGGGGCUUCUGAGGCCACCAGCUUCCUACAAGCUCUGGGACUCAGCUGGACACUUGGCCUCAUCCCAUCCCACACUGGAUGCUGGUACCCUGGGGAGCCAUUGCUUGGGAGUAGCUUUUUCAAAGACUAAGGGUACUGGUCAGGGGCUUGACACCUCUUGGACAUUUAAAGUUGUUUUCGGUUUUUUGGGGUUUGUUGUAAGAUGCUGAUGAAGCCAAAAGGUUUGAGCUCCCAUGAUGUAGUUCAUUACAUUUUAGAAAGUGAAAUCUGGGUAAAAGGUGAAUCAUACCACAUUAUUGGGAGUGGAAAUAGAUUUAGACUUCAGCUGCAACAUGAGCUAAUAUAUGUGUGAAAAAGACCAUGGAGAAACUAUGUUAGAAGAAAGGUGUUAAAGAUGCUAAGGCAAAUAUAAAAAAACCAAGCCAACACUGGGAAUGUAGUUGUCUGUGCAACCUCAGUAUGGUCUUCUCUUGUGAAUGCAUUUCAGUACAUUUCUAAUGACAGGAACACAUUUUUCUCUUCAGGGAUUCUGACCACAUUCAGGUCACAGAAUGGACAGUGCUCACUUAAUGAGCAGUUAUUCAAUAUUUUGAAUUCUCAAAUAAGUCAGUGUGUGACCUCCACAACUUUGCUUAAUAGUAUUCAAACCUUGUUCUGAAAUCAGAAGUACAAAUUUACUCUUGAGCUGUCUUGUGAUUCUGAGCACAUCCCUGAUAUCACUUAGUAAAUCUUUGCAACAGCCAUGUGAGAUAACAGAAUAUUUUUACUCCAUUUUUGCAGGUGGACAGCUGAGGCACGAAGAGUUUGGUCAGCAGGAUGCCCUAGUUUUUAUGUCCUGAAUUUUAGAAACAGAGGGCCUGACCUUUAUUCAUAGUUUUCGUUUUCAGUUUCACAUAUCUGAAAACAUCUCCCAUUACUGUCAGCUGCAGCUCUGAGUGCUCGGCACUGCUCCAAAUGAGACUCAAGGUGUCUGAAGUCAGCUACUCAGAGAUGCAGAACUUGUCACUUGGAAUGACCCCAUGAAAAACACGGGCCAGGAUAACAGAGGAAUCAGCAGCAAAGAGGGACUGGUUAAUAUGAAAAGUGUAGUACAAGAACUGACAUGACCUGGCCACGUAAUGUAGACAUAUGCAUACCAUAAUUGGGUUGUUUGAGCAGACCUAUGAGUUUUUUGACUCCAAGGAUGUGUCUUAUGAACUAUUUGAUAUUUUUAUUGUUAAUGGGUCAAUAAAUUGUUCUGGCAAGAACCAGCCUUGUCCUGUGACUUGCUGAAGAAGUAGAAUCAUGACUUUCUACCAAAAAAUAACACUAUAUUUAGGUGGUGCUAGGAGAAAUAAGCUGGCUGCUGUAGUAUCUGAAUUGUUUUUCCUCUGUAAAUCAGUGUGCUCCCUAUGCCCUUUCAACACACUCUCAUUGUCUUGUCUCCCAUUGCUUGUUUAAUUGCUUCCUUUCCGACACCACAAGGGAGAUCCAUCCCAAGGAUGUGGAAAUAAUAAUGGUUUUCAGUGUUAUAAAUCCUCCUACAUUUGGUUCUUCUUAAAGUGAGUACCUCUUCCUUCAUCUGGAAGGAAGGAUGAUAGGAACCCUGAUGGAAACUCUUGGACAACCACUCAUGAGGGUUUGACAUUCUUCUAUUUCCUCUUACUUUUCUUGCCUGUUCCAGCUGCUUGACAUCCUCAGAAAACUUCUAAAUGUGCUGAAUAGUAUUUGAGGGGAACUGACAAGAAAUGGAGCAGUCAGACUCAGUCCAGUGGUAGCAAUCCAUGUGUGGAUUGCUAAUUAUCUAUAAGACUUGGCCAUUCAUAAGUUCCUUUAAGCUUUUUCUCCCCUUUCUUUAUCCCCAAGUGUUUAGCUAUUUUCAGCUCCACCUAUUUUAAAGGCUGCAGCUUUUCCUCCUGCCUUUGGGAGUCUGAUCCACACAUUGAUUUAUUUUGAGCUAUAUUGCUAAUUACUAUUUUUGUAAGUAUAGUGUUUCAUUAUUCAUUAAAGCUGGGGAGACAUUUUAGUAAUUUCUAAGUAGAACAAAUGUAAAUUCAGUAAUCAAGUAAGAUCUCUGGUUAGGGUUUAAGAGGGCUAGGAGGAGUGAUCUGACAAAGGAGCUGGUAUGACAACUGAGAGCUGUUGAUAUAUGAAGGAGUGUUACUAAAAAAGCAGAAACUAAUGUUGGCAUGGACAAGAUGCAGGGACUGGCUGAAAUGUGGGGAGGAAUCUUUUAGUUCACCGAAGGAAUAAACUGCCACAGGAGCCCAGAGAGUCAUUUUUUGGGGCAAAUGUCCCGAGACUGGUAAAAAACACUCCUGCAGGGUGUAUGAACAAAGUCAGCCAUGCUGCACUGUACAGGGAGGGUCUAGAGGACCCUGGAGAUUUUCAAUUAUUUUCUCUUUAGUGUGUGACAAAGCCACUCAGCAGGAACUGGCUCUUACUAAGAGAAGAGGAAACACUGUCCAUUUUCUGGUGUUAGUGCAAGCUUCCCAGUGCUUUCUGUCUGGCUUUGCAUGAGUUCUGAGGUAAGAAAGUUCCUAUUCCGGAAAGUCAGGAUGAAAACCCUAAUUCCGUAUCACAACUGCAUCAGAGUAGAAAGACACGGAAGUAGCUUUGUGCACUCUGCCUGCCCAGCCAUCGUAGGAGUCCUUACCAAGGUCCCUUUUUCCUCAGCUUCUCUGCCAGGGGCCCUCUGAGUAAAGCCCCCCACAGGUUGGGCUCCAGGGGUUUCUGGAUGUAGAGUACAGUUCUGCUACAGAUGCGCCAGUUGCAGAGUCAUCUAAACUGUGCCCGGGCAAAAGACAUUGUGAUAUGCAGUGCUUUGAGGCUACUGACAUACUUCCUGACUGAAAAUGGAAAAAAACUAGAAGACCUUAUGACAAAGAUGCUAAAUAUUUAUUGAAGCCCUUUUUUAAGAACAGCUUUAAAAUGGGAAGCAGGGUGGUGAAAAAAAUGAAAUAAAUAAAGGUGGUAAUCUUCCUGCAACAGGAAGAUUAGAAGAUCUGGAUGACUAUUUAAAUGUGCCUGUGAUAUACCAGUCCUUACAAGUGGUGGAUCCAAAGACUUUUUCCAAGGGCUUUUUUCCUAGCACAUCUAUUCAACAUGUUCCAUUUGGCCAGGGGUCUUUAUAGCAUGAAAAUAGCAGGGUCCACAAAGGGGUUUUUGCAGCAGGCACUGCAGGCUUGCCUCCCCCUCCUCCCUUUUCAAUAGGGUUGAAUACAGUAAAGGAGCAAAGGAGAAAACAGAAUGGCUCAAAGCCAUAUGUGCAUUUCCCAUAGCUCAGUGCCAGGGUCUAGAAAAAAUGAUUAAGCCCUGGGGUUACUGAGUCUUGUGUUCAGGAUCUUCCCGGUCAAAAACCAUGCCUGUACUCUGGUGACAACCCACCUGAAAAGGGGUGUGGCACAACAUUGUGCCCUCUGGACUAUGCCACUAAGGAGUGACAGCAGCAAUCAGAGACCUGAUUUAUCAGUUUUACAGACCUUGGGAAGCACUGGAGUUACACAAACCAGGCAUAGUCUUAGGCAGUCAAGCCCAGAUUCUGUGUGAAAGAAGCUGUGUCAUACAUGUCCCCUCUGGAGACCUCUCAGGUUCCAGCAGACACUUAAGCCCCCCUUUAGGAUAUUCUCAUCCUGCACUGACAGGAGGAAGUAGAUAAGAGCACGGCUUAAAUAUUGCACAAUGCUUUACUGAGCUACACACCAUGCAUUUGAGGUUCUUGCAGCACUACAAAUACUAAUUUAAUUAUGUUCAGAGUCCUUCUGGAACUUAACAAUAUCUCCAAUUUGUAAGUUGUUUGGAGCAGUGGACCACAGAGAUAUUGUAAAAAUUAUCCCUAGGAAAAUGUCACUGGAAUCAAUGAAAUGAAACUCCACUUUCAUCAUCUGACAUUGCUUUUGGCACUGGACUUCAAAUAAGAUUACUGUACUACUGUUAAUCAGUAAAUAAGUUGGAAUAGAAGGAAUAGAAGAAAAUGGUCUGGAUCUUCUCACACUUUUCUGUGAGUCAGCAGUAUGUAAGAGCUCAUAGUGGGACCAGUGACCUGUCUCCUGUAUUUGACAUCUUAAAAGUAGGUCUAACUCUUCCUGUUCUCACCUGUAGUAGUGCCUAAGCAGAGAGGAGAUAUUGAUAGAUCUCCUUCUAUGCUUCUACUUUAAACACGUAUGAGAAAUGAACAGUAAAUGUAGGCCAAGAAUAAUUUCACAUAAAGUUUUCUUUAAGGUCCCUUGCAUCCAAGAUAUAGAGGUGCUCGGAAGAAUUCAGAUUCAUAAGAUGGGUCCAUGUCUUACCCACUGCUUGUAGUGAAUUCAUAUACAGGCUGUCACAACAGUCCUGUCAGAAACCUUGUAGAAGAUCUGUGGGGCAGAUAUUUACACUGGUGCCACUGAAGUAAAGAUGGGUGGAGACAAUGGCCAGGGCAAGCCAGGGGAUGCGUAAGGGCAGUCUCGGGGUCAGUCAAGUCCCAGUGGGCCUGAUGAUCCACAACAUAAAUCAAUAAACUGAGCUUCUAUGAAGAUCAGAUCCAGACUCGACACCCUCAUUCUCUGCCUUCCAGCAGUUAGGCUGAUAUCCUGUCCUAGUGAAACUGAGGCUGGUGUUAACAGGGUCAGGAAAUCCUAUGGAGGAAAAAGCAGAGCCAGUAGGGCUGUUCCUGCUCCUGGCUGGCUAAGGAGAGGCCAUGCCAGUGAGACCUGUUGGAUCCAUCAGAACCAGAAGCUGAUAAAAAGCCUGCUACCCCAGUGAGAAGAGAGAGUCUAUACUGAUAGGCAGAAGCCUUGGCAAUGGAUUGCUGCACUUUGGGGAUACAAUAUCAUGGUGCACACAGAGUUCAACUCUGCAGCAGGGUUGUGGGAUUGGCAUAUUUGGAACUAAAGCUGAAGAGGCUAUGGAAGAGGAUAUCUUUGGCAGAGCUGUUUUCAAGCCAGUUUGUCAAACUGUGUAGACCUACAACUCUGGUUUUUUUGGUUUUGCUAAGAGCAGAUCUCAUGAUUUGAAAGACUGUAUGGUGCUCCUCAGUGAAUGGGGAAGCUGUUGGCUAAAGGUGAUGCUUGGGGCUAGGCUCUCUUUCAAGACUGGAAAAACAAAAGACAAAGGUCUGACCAGUAGGUUAAUGGAACAGUAAGAAAGGCAGUGCUUACUGUACUGGCCUUGCUAGAUCCCAAUCAAAAAUCCUUUUUCUGCUUUCUUCAGCUCACCAUGUACUUUCAGCUGAGAUACACACCUUUGUCCCUCCUAAAGUUUAAUUGCUGUGUGUGACACUGAAGGCACAGGUGGCAGCCACAGGGUUUCACCUGGCUAUAGCUGCAGUUCAGGAGAAGAAACACCAUUUCUUUGUGCAGGUGCUCGGUAUAAAGCAGUGGUGGUGUCACAAAGGGCAAGUCCUGCCUGAGUGACCUAGUGGUUUUCUGUGAUGGAGUGACUACUCCAGUGAGCAGGGGAAGGGCUAUAGAUGUCACCAUGUGGACUUCUGCAAGACCUUUAACAUGGUCCCAAAUGACAUCUUUCUCUCUAAACUGGAGAGAUUGAUUUGAUGGGAGGACUCUUUGGUGGGUGAGGAGUUGGUUAGACAGUUACCUCCAGAGUGUAGCAGUCAACAGCUUGAAACCCCUGUAGACACUGAUGGCAAGUGGUGACUUUUAGGAGUCUAUAUGGGGACCAGUGCUAUUUAAUGUCUUCCUCAGUGACAGAGACAGAGGGAUCAAGUGCACCAUCAGCAUAUUUGUAGACAACACCAAGCUGAGUGCUGUUGACAGGCCUGAAGGAUGGGAUGCCCUGUGUUGCCAUGGAGGGAAUGGGGUAGGAGCAGGACAUAAGCUUCUGCUUCCUAUGGAGGUCAUUCUGGAGACCUUGCAUAAGCCUGGACUCUGGGGAAUCUCAGCAGCUGUCUGCCCAAGAUCUCAGGGGAGCAAGUCUGAGCAGGAAAUUAGCCUCUGUGCCCUGAGUGAAGCUAGGAAUAUAUUAAAAAAAAAAAAAAAAAGGGGGGGGGGGAAAUAGACUGGGAGAGAAAAUGUAGGGAGGGAGAGAUAUUGAUAAUUCUGGGUUUCAUUACCUGCUCAUGGUCAUCAGACUCUGAUUUCAGAGUCGGAAUAUGCUGCUUCAAAAUAGUCCACAUAGCAGCAACCAUCCUUGCCCAAACUGCCCGAAACCCAACCAAGAAAACCACAUAGUUUGAGCUUAAAAAGUAAAAUUUCUAUUUAGUCCAGUGACAUGCAAGCUUGCAUUUCUAUCUAAGCGCAACUGCAUCAAAAAUAAUCUGUUCUUUGAAUGGCCUUUUCUAAUCAAAUCAUAGUUCAAGGGAAAUUUUCCACUGGGUCCUUUUGCUGAAUUUCUUCAGUGUGGGCUAUUUUGGUAGUAGAUUUACAUUGUCAGCUUGGAUACUUUCCUGCUUCUUUUCUAGGCUUUGAUCCCUCGAUUUGAAUGCCUGCUGAGUGGUUCCUUCUGGAGUGACACAAGUAAUUCCCUCCAAAAAGGAGACUAGACACAACUGACAGUACAGUAUGCACUAGGAUCCAACCUCAAGCAAGAGCAUAGAUGUUGAUUGUGCCAAACCCUCAAGACCCUCAACACAGUCCCCACAGACCUCGUGGCCUGAAGUGCCUUCAUACACUUAGGCCACACCCCAGGGUAUGCACACACGCUUGUCAUGAACUAUAAAAGCACCACCUUCUCAAGUUCCAACCCAGUCCUGUCUCGGAGACUCUGGGUGUUUUAAAUUUAAAGAUGAGUGAGUGCAGCCUGUGACCCACAGCCACCAAAGUGCUCCAUAGAGCCCAGACCAGACCCAAGGCAAGUGUUUUCCCCUGUGAGCUUCUCUGCUCCAGAAACAUGAACAUCAUCCUGAACAUCAUCCUCUUUGUGUCCCCUUCAGGGACAAGGCUCUACUUUCUUUCACCUGGCCUGCAAAGGCAACAUAAACAGUAGUGAUGUUUUUUAUUUUCUGUUUAACUGCUGGAGCUGUUGGAGCUUCAGGGUGGCAGAGGACACUGUGGUUGACCACCAGGUUAAGAGAAACAGGGUGACUGACAGAAGGGAGGGUCACAAAACAGGUGAAGUGACUAUGGAUUUAUUGAGAAGGCUCACUAGAAAUAUCUAAAUGGUUUUAGCUUAAUUGUCUUCUAUCUCUCUUUGCAGCCACUGUAAUGAAUGAAUAACAUCCAUCCCUCUGCCUGACUGUCAUCUUAUUUUAAUCUAGGCACCAUAAAAUAGAGGGGAAUUUUCCUACUUAUUGGAGGAUCUUGUAGAGGAAAGGGUGGAAACCCCAUUGUUAGAGGAUUUGAAACUGGAGAGCUGAAACCAUGCUAGUUACACCCUGGGGAGCAAUCCUGCAUAGGCCUUCAGAGGGAUGAAUUAACCUUUUCUUUCUCAAGGAGGUUUUACCCACCAUCACCACAGCCAUCCUGGGAGAGCAAAGGAACUCUGUUUGUUUCCUCACCUUGAAGACAGGUUGUGCUGGCAGGUGCCAUCCUCUAGCCAGGUGUCUUCACACCAUUUAACUGGGUUUAAAAAAGCUGUUCUGUGUGCUAAAUCGCUUCCUCACUUCCCAAAGUGUGAAAGCCUUUUCUCUCUUUCACGUGUCCAUGCUUCGCUCCUUCUGGGGAGACAGCUGGUCUUUUUUUUUAAUACAUUCUGCUCCUUAAAUGCUGUCUCUGAGACAAAUCAGGUCAUGUGGAGCCAAGCCCAUGAAAAAGGCUGAGGUGACUCAAUCCUGGGAAAUCACUAGGAGCUGGAUGCCUAAAUUUCUUUGUGAGUCCCAGUGGCCUUGAGUAACAUCAGUAAGAACAUACAUUGUGUUCUAGUCAGGAACAGAGCAUAGGCUGAGAUGCCUCUUAACCUAACAAAUAGCACAGGUAUUUGGGUGAUUCAGCACUAGUUUCACCUAAAUAACUGAAGGAAAGGUUUCCACACGUACUUUAGCACAGGUGUAAUGAGAAAAUAAUGACUCUGGGCCCUUAUUCCUUUGUGUGGAGAACACAGUUGUUUGUUUAGGGUUUUUUUUUUACCCAGUAAUAAUCAGAUACCAUAUUUCCCUUGGGUGAAAUGGCUGAAGUGUGUUAUUGAUAACUGUCAAUGGUCCUAUGGAUGUCCAAGCUCUGGCCAGUAUUGAAGCCCUGUCUGGUGAAAGGUGUGUAAGUCCUAAAUCUGGGCUCCCAGCACACUGUUUUCAAAAUACUGGGAGAUGGCCACAUGUACCAAAGGGCUCUGGGAUUUGGUGUCAUGUUGAAGAGGAGCUCCUAACUAAGGACAGAAAGGAGCAAGACACCAGGGUGAUGGCUGAGUAUAUAGCAGCCUGAUGCUAGGAUAAAUGUUAAGGAGGUUGAUACAUGCUAUAUAUUGGAGGGCAGAGAAACACCAGGAAAAGGAGAGCUAGAGAGAGAAGCAGAAGAAGCUGUGUAAUAUUCAAAUAUAUUUCAGUGAAACAGUAACUUCUUUCCUGGUCUCUUCACCCCAGCAUUCAGAAUACAAAACAAUGUGAUAAUUUUUACCAAGGAAGGGCAAUGAGGUACACCAUGAGAGACAAGUGAGACAAGUGGACUAACAGCAAACAAGGACCAAAGCAUUCAGUCGUCUCCUUUCUUUGCCUAUAUGUGGCUGCAAACACGUGGAACAUCUAGAAAACACCUAGGUUCUCAAUUUCUCCUUUCUUGAAGUACCAGGACAGGAGAUAUUUUAAAGGGUCUGGAGAUUAUAGUAAUACUUCCUUAAUUCUUUUCCAUAAUUCAACACCCCCCCGCCCCCGCCUCCAACAAGCUGUGAGUUUGGAGAUGGAAUGUGUAAAAGCAGCCAGAGAUUAGAAAUCUUCUUGUCAUGGCUCCAGGAAAUUUCUACAUUCCUGGUACCUGAGAAUUAACCUCUGCCCUAUUUGUGAUUUAACAUUAAUUUAUCUCCUACUCUCUCACCUACAUGAUAGAAAGGAAAUUUUCACUUACAGGAACAGUCUGCAUGGGAAGAGAUGUCCUAGAAACCUGGAGGUGUGGCAGACAAGCAGAUGGGGAUGGUGAGAGGAUCAUCCCUCCAGGACUGGAAAGAUGCUGUGGGCUGUGUAGAUAGAGACAUAAAUGUGUGUUUCAUAAAGGCAGAGCUUUGCACACUGGCUUCAUUGGGUAUGUGAGGAUAGUCUAAAUAAAAAAAUGGACAUGUUUGACUAUGUCCUUUUAUGGAUCUGUUUAGCUCUUCAUCCACUCCCUCAGUGAUACCAUUUUGCCAUUACGGGAUCUAUGAUUUAAUUAAACCUAAAUGAAACAGAGGACAUUUGCUCUGUGUAAAAUGGCAAUACAUUGCAUAUACCCAAACAAUAUCAUGAAUAUCUCAGUAUUAAGUAUUGGUGUGAGUUUACACAUAAAUGUGUAAAUAAAGGGGAGGGAGGUGAUGGAAUACUAAUAUCUGAAACUUAUCCCUGCCAGACCUGAUUCCUGACAGAGAACUCUAGAUUCCAUGCAGACACUAGUAACAAGAGUCACUUUAUUCUAGCCACAAUACUACAGCCAAGAUGUAAUGAAUGCUUGGAGAUAGAUAAGACAGACAGAUUUCUUGUUUUCCACUGAGAUGGUUUUGAAUGUAUCCUGGCAGGGCUUACUCACCCUUUGAGCUCUCCAAAGAAGACAAAUUGCUUUCCAGGAGCUUCUGCUGUGUACAGGUUAUUUUUGAGCACUUCCUUAAUUAAGGUUUAUCUGCUGUGCACAUAAUUCACAGAUUAAAAGCCCUUGGGGCUUUUUUUUUUGUGUGAACAGAAGUUUCCCCCUGAACAACCUGUUUCUCACCCAACCCAUUGUUAUACAACAUGACACACAUUCUUUAUGGAUACCGUGUCCUACCCCAGAAGUAGCUGCAGGCCAGUAGCC